rnacentral:rRNA from 1 species
AGAGUUUGAUCCUGGCUCAGGACGAACGCUGGCGGCGUGCUUAACACAUGCAAGUCGAACGAUGAUCCGGUUUCGGCCGGUGAUUAGUGGCGAACGGGUGAGUAACACGUGGGCAAUCUGCCCUGCACUCUGGGACAAGCCCUGGAAACGGGGUCUAAUACCGGAUAUGACACAUGAGGGCAUCCUCGUGUGUGGAAAGCUCCGGCGGUGCAGGAUGAGCCCGCGGCCUAUCAGCUAGUUGGUGGGGUAGUGGCCUACCAAGGCGACGACGGGUAGCCGGCCUGAGAGGGCGACCGGCCACACUGGGACUGAGACACGGCCCAGACUCCUACGGGAGGCAGCAGUGGGGAAUAUUGCACAAUGGGCGAAAGCCUGAUGCAGCGACGCCGCGUGAGGGAUGAAUGCCUUCGGGUUGUAAACCUCUUUCAGUAGGGAAGAAGCCUUCGGGUGACGGUAC